CGCGACCGCCUCAGUCACUUCGCCCAGAGACCCGGACCUGGUCCGCUGGGGAGCAGGCGGCCAUAAACCCCCUCUCUCCCGGUUCCCUGACGCCGCGGCAGGAGCUGUUACGAACACCCUGCGGUUGGUCUCCGAUGCCCUUCAGUGAGGUGGGGACGCCUGGACCCUGGUGAGCGAACCCCAAGCCACCCCCCACCCCAACUCAGUGUCUUCGCCGGCCCCCGGCCCGUACGCCUGUCUGGUCGCCAUGGCUGAAAACACAGAGGGGGAUCUGAACUCCAACCUGCUCCACGCCCCCUACCACACCGGGGACCCUCAGCUGGACACGGCCAUCGGGCAGUGGCUCCGCUGGGAUAAGGUGGGUACCUGGUCAGCCCGGCAAACGCCGUCGCCUCCCCCACACAGUCUGCUCUUUCCUGUGCCCACCCAGCGCCCCGCGGGCUGCAGAGGAGAUGGCUCGGGACACCGAGCGGGGGGCAGCGGAGCAGGGCGUUGCCACCCACCUAUGCGUGGGGUUGCUCCUUCGGACUGCCAGAGCCGGGCGGCAACAUCUGCAUCGCUUCCUUCUGCAGUGCUCUCAAUUGUAACCUCCCUUCCUCUUCUUUACCCUCUUUCCUUUCAAGUGCUGUCUUCCCUCUUUCUUCAAAAAAAAAAAAAAAAAAA
rnacentral:lncRNA from 1 species